rnacentral:rRNA from 1 species
CCCUUAGAUGUUCUGGGCCGCACGCGCGCUACACUGAUGCAUUCAGCGAGUCCAUCCUUGCCCGAAAGGGCUGGGUAAUCUUUUGAAAUUGCAUCGUGAUGGGGCUUGCGGGUUGCAACUACCCGCACCAACGAGGAAUUCCUAGUAAACGCAAGUCAACAACUUGCAUUGAUUACGUCCCUGCCCUUUGUACACACCGCCCGUCGCUACUACCGAUUGAAUGGCUUAGUGAGCCUUUGGGAUUGGCAGCUUGUACCGGCAACGGUAGCAGGCUGCUGAAAACUUAGGCAAACUUGGUCAUUUAGAGGAAGUAAAAGUCGUAACA